ACGACCUCAACUCAAGCAAGACUACCCGCUGAACUUAAGCAUAUCAGUAAGCGGAGGAAAAGAAACUAACUAGGAUUUU
rnacentral:rRNA from 1 species